CUUUCCUUGAUCUAGUGAUUUGAUUUUGCGCACACUAAAAUCACUACGAUAAGCAUAAUCAAGAUAAAAUUUAAAUGUAAUAGCAAGUGACUGAAACUCCUUGUCGAUGUACGACACUCUUGAUUCUUCAUUACCAAACUGUGGAAUUUCCUCACGUGAAGAUCUUAUACUUUCUGUAUUUUGUUAAGGCAAGUAGAGAAUCCAAAUUUGUCCUGCACCAUGUAGAUAAUAGAUGUAAGAUUAACAAAAUAAAUAUAGCUUAUAGAUAAAAACUAUAUUAUUCAUGAGAAAAUUCUUUAUUAACAAUUUAUGUUUAAGUUAAUUAAGUUCAUUCAGAGUGAAG
rnacentral:misc_RNA from 1 species